rnacentral:pre_miRNA from 1 species
CUUCAGAGGGGGGGUCCCUCAGCCCAGAUUGCGAGAGGGCACAGGCCAGGCCGAGGGACUCAACCUGUGCACA